rnacentral:rRNA from 1 species
GAAAUGCGAUAAGUAAUGUGAAUUGCAGAAUUCAGUGAAUCAUCGAAUCUUUGAACGCACCUUGCGCUCCUUGGUAUUCCGAGGAGCAUGCCUGUUUGAGUGUCAUUAAAUUCUCAACCUCACCAGUUUUGUAACGAGACAGGUGAAGGCUUGGAUGUGGGGGUUUUGCAGGCUGCCUCAGUGCUGGUCUGCUCUCCUGAAAUGCAUUAGCGAGCUCAUAUUGAGCUUCCGUCUAUUGGUGUGAUAAUUAUCUACGCCGUGGAUUGGACUCAUGCUUGCUUCUAACCGUCCGCAAGGACAAUUUACUUGACCAAUUUGACCUCAAAUCAGGUAGGACUACCCGCUGAACUUAAGCAUAUCAAUAAGCGGAGGAAAAGAAACU